rnacentral:rRNA from 1 species
UACGUAGGUGGCGAGCGUUGUCCGGAUUUACUGGGCGUAAAGAGCGCGCAGGCGGUCGUUCCAGUCGCGUGUGAAAGCCCCUGGCUCAACUGGGGAGGGUCACGCGAUACUGUUCGACUUGAAGGCAGGAGAGGGAAGUGGAAUUCCCGGUGUAGUGGUGAAAUGCGUAGAUAUCGGGAGGAACACCAGUGGCGAAGGCGACUUCCUGGCCUGUUCUUGACGCUGAGGCGCGAAAGCUAGGGUAGCAAACGGG